AAGGAAGCUCCGGGCUCAGCCUUACCACCUGAGGCACGCACAGGUGCCUCCCGCGCCUCAGAACCCGCACCGGGCCCGGAGAGCGGCAGCCCUGGACACAUCUACCCGAACCGGCACCCGCAGCGAUGGGACGCAGCUCCGGAACCUGACGGAAGGCCCAAACGCGGAGCUGUCCCGGGGCCCAGCACACACGGCCGCAGGGACAUGAUGGCUGUGCCAAGGACCAAUGUGGAGGCGGCAGCUUCUCGGGCUUUGAGGCACGGCAGGACACGUUCCAUGCCACAAGAGCCACAGGGUCGGGCUGGGCUGCUGCUCCCUGCCCUUCCAUCCUUUGGAGGCUGUCAGCCUUACCUGAAUCACAACAACCAGGCAGAGCAAGGCAAACAGCUCUUCCUGAAGCCGCUAGAGAUACAGGUGCUGGUGUUGCAACUCCUUCCAGCUUCAGCCAAGCUCACGUGUACCAAGAGACACAAAAAACAGCUCUCACCUCAGACUUCCCCCAGUCUAAUUGCUGUGAUGUACUGCUGUGGUGCCUCCAGGGACCGCGAGCCCUCACUGUUCUCAACAGCGCCGCACAGCCACAGAACAUACUGAGGCUGGAGGCAGCGUUGGUUCCAGGGCUCAGUGUACUCACAACCCAUAUGUCUGGCUGCCACUUAAGGUCCACAACACCAACGUCAACACUGCGUGUUGGUUGUGAUCAUAAGCUGUGCCCUGAAGAAUGUGCAGGAAGGGAAGCUAUGUGGAGGGCCUGGUUGGAUCUGGAGGUGGGAGGAAGGUGAAGAGACCCCUCUGCAUCCCCCCCAUGUGGUAUACUCCUGCUGCCCACGGAGAAGAGCCAAGCCUGGGAUAGCUCCCAGUUUAAGUGUAAAAAGGCAGGAGUGCCUCUUGAACACUUUCUGCCUCUCCUGAAACACAAAGUCUUUAUACUGGAAUGCACUCCACAGGAAAAAAAUACCUCUCUCCCCAUCACAACGUGAAUACCCUGAAGACUCAGCUUCUUCCUUGCAUGCUUCCUCUUUAAAUCUAAAGGUAUGAAUCUGCAGCUAGGAACCAAUGGUUAGAAGAAAGCACCACCUCACCAGAGCAAGCUCAAGGAGCUGCAUCUAUGCAGGAUGGGACCCUCUGUGCUGCUUGCCUUCACUGUCUGUAUACAGCUGCAUGGCCAUUUACCUCCUUGUAAAGCAGUCACCUCUGUGGUAUCACGUCAAGGAGCAGGGUGCCAGUGGCAGGAUGUGCUGGUGUCUCUGAAGAGCAUGGAAAGUAAAAAUGAGAGAAAUGGCUGGCCUUGCAAAAUAAAUAAAUAAAGUCACUCUGGCCCUUACUUUCUUCUUCCCCGCAAGUUCAGUGGCAUGGACACUGCUGCCCCAGCCAGCACGGGCUGCUGAGGGAAACUGCUGAUGGAAGUUGUAUCCCGCGGAUAAGGGGGGCAAAGAGGAGGGAAGUACUCGUCAUGCUCCCACGUAACCAGAAAUGAUUUCUGAGUGCUGCUGGCCAUCGUUGGUUUCUGGACACUGGGACUGGUACUGGGAGGAGCAGGGCAGAGAAGGACUGACAGGAGCCAAUUGUAAUGAGAGCUGGCUGUAGGAAAGGAGGAGCAUUACCAGCACCAGAGCACCUCAUCUUCCUCUCCAGCAGGUAUCUCUCAGAGGUGCGUUAUUAACAUAUAGCAGGUCUGUCAGCCAAUAAGUAUGCUUGUGCAACAUCCCUUUCAACCUGUCAAAGACAAGCCAGCAGUACAAAUGUCACCUGCUCCCUAAAUGAUCAGGACAGCUCACUCUGUCCAUUUCCUAAGAACAAGGCAGGAAUGAGAUGCUAGCUUGUGUAGAAAGGUUGCCUUUCCCCUUGCCCCUGCAGGAAUUAGCAGACCUUAGGUUGGGAACCUGCAUUCCAGCAUCUCUGGAGGACAUCCAGCAGCAGAUGUUUCAAGAGGUGACAUCAGGAGCCACAUGCUAAAUAAUUAUGGCAAAACCCAUCUGCAUGGAAACUCCCCAGCUUUCAGAAACUGGAGCAUUUAUGUCCAUCCAAGUUACCUUAAGCUCAAAGAGGAAAUAGAGAACAAAGUCUAUCAUGGUGUGUUUGCAUAAAUCCAUGUUGCACUUACAUCCUGAAUCUUAUGUGGCUGAAACUGCAUGACCACAUAGCUCACAUAGAACUGGGAAGUUCAUAGCACAGCUACAAAAGCAUCCAUAUGCAGCAGUCUCAUUGGUUUGAUCCUAGAGAGGAUUGCUUUCUACUUACAGGCACUUGUAGGUAUGGAGUUGCUCCUUCUGUGGGUCUGCCUGGCACCGGCCAGGCCAAUGCCUGUUUCUAAGCAUCUCUCCCCUUUCUCCUGCAAGGGAAGAGACAUUAACUGUAAACCCAACUUUUUAUUUCUCUGUUUUGGUGGCAACAGACUUCAGAAGAAUCACUAUGUUCCCAGGGCAUGGCUGCAGCUGAUCUCUGCAGGUGCAUCAUGGCAGCAACCAGCUUCCUUGCAGGGGAAAGCCUCAUCCAGCACAUUGCAGGUCUUCUGCUUUUCAUGACAUGUAACGGUAAUGCGCCAUUCUAGCGAGCUAAUUAUGUGUGAAGGCUUCACCAGGUUUCCCUUGAGUAGGCACCAUAUGAUGCCAGUAAGUGGAACACACCUUUCCUUCUCAUCUCCAGUUAUUGGGCCUUGCGUGAACCAAUUCACUUGCACAAGUGGAACAACCAGUAAUUAAAAAAACAAAACAAAAAAAAAACCAACUGUGAAGUGUUCCAAGGCUCAUGCAGCAGGACCGUGGGACUAAAACAACCGCUCCCUCCCCAUCACAUGCAAAGUGAUAUCUUUCCUCAUGAGCAGAGCUGGCCCUCCCUAGAGCUUGCAGUCCUUGGUGUUGGAUUGAAUGCUUCAUGCUGAGGUAGGGAAGGGGAACACGUUCACACACACACACACACACAAAAAAAAAGUUAGCUGUAAAAUUAAUGGUUGUUUACAGAGGGAAAGCUAACGUCCCCUAACAAAAAUCCAGUGUGAGCUUGAACCAUCCAAGCUCACAAGGCUAUGCACAAUGCUUUCUCUCAUGCCAAAAGAAAUAUUUUGAUUUGAGCAGCUGUAAUGCACAGGCAUAGCUUUCUUUUUGUUUGUUUCCUUUAAAAAGUUUAGAAAGCAAAGGCCUGAGGAAAGGCUUGCUGUGCAUAGCUGAUCUAGCAGCUUAAUGAAAAUCCUAGUCUGAUGAAAAAUGCCUAAUGAAGAGCGAGCCAAGGCUGGGAGGUGGGAGUCUGCAGCCAGCUGGGGACAGACUUACCCCCCAGCUGCCCUCUGCAGAGCUACGCUGUGGGAGGCUGGUGAGGGCCACCCACCGAGGUGGAUUACCUGCUCUAUAACCUUCAGAUCAGAUUACACACAGCACAUGCAAAACUCUUUUCCUGGCUCCUUGGAAGCAUGCAUUGGGCUCUGCUCCUACAGGGGGGAUUCUGCAUCACAGCUGCAACUUUUGCUCAGUGUGAUUUUGCCAUGUGGGUCAAGUCUGAUCGUGAACAGAGGCUUUUGCUAUCAUGCUCAGUUUGAAGGGACAGGUGUGACUGAGGUCACAGAGGGGAAUCCUUCAUUUUUAAAAGUAAUAACCAAGAAGUUAACUGGAAACAAUUCACAACCACAGAGCUACAGCUCAGUCUAGCACAAUUGGGUAAUACACUAGAACAACAUGAAUACCAGUAAUUAUAACCUGGGUGCUACCCAAGAUAACUUGUACCAACAAAGCUGGGUGCUUUGAUUGGGUUAUUUGAUUAUUAAGGCAUUUCUUUUGUUAUUUGCACUCUGCUGCAUCUCAGAAUAUCAAAGCGAUUAUUUCACUUGCAUCAAUAUUUUGCACUAUUUCUAUUUUAUCUGUAAGUAAAGAAAUAAAGAAAAAGUCAUUGUUGCCAGAUGAA